rnacentral:misc_RNA from 1 species
AACGCACCUUGCGCUCCCUGGUCAUUCCGGGGAGCAUGCCUGUUUGAGUGUCAUAAUACUCUCAACCCCUGGGGUCUUUUAAACGGACCACCUCGGGCUUGGAUCAUGGACGCUGCCGGCCCUCUCUCGGGGGUGUGGCUCGUCUGAAAUACAUGAGCUGACCUGUCUGCGAACAGCACGGUUUGACUCGGCGUAAUAAAUCCAUUUUUCGUCGGGGACACCCUUUGCGGGGUGGCCGGGCUCGCGGUCUUCGGGUUGCUUACAAUCGAAUAGUCCCAUCUAUUUUAGACCUCAAAUCAGGUAGGAUUACCCGCUGAACUUAA